CCUAAGGAAAAAUCUGCACGCUGUUAAUGACUUUAUUCUAUUUGAGCAGAACUUCGUUAUGGAAAAACGGAUCGAUGUUCUUUUAUUUGUAUGUUGUUGGAUCCUGUUGUAGGAGAUGAGCAGCUUUUCAGUAAGAUAAUGUGGCAUGUUUUACAAGGUUAGGCCGUGGAUGGCCUGCAUCUUUAACACCGGAUUGAAGUAUAUUCUUAGUGCAAAUGAAAACUAUGGUAUGCAAAUAUCGUGAAGAUGCCCCAUGUCUUACUUUCUGAGGUUCAUAAGAAAAUGAACUUGUCACGCAGGUCUGGGUAGGUUUAGAAGCUUGGCAGGUUUUUGUUUUGUUUUGUUGUUUUGUUUUUUUUUUCCUGGCUCUCUUUUAAUUUCAGUAUUGUGAUGGGGAAGUAAAAAAUGUUUGUUUUCCAACCGUAACACUUCAUUUUUUCUCUUAAAGAGUGCAACUUGUGUUACUGUUUGGGUGGUCUUCUUGUGUUUUCAGAGCACUUCAGUGCUAGUUCCUACCUCUUGUUCUUGCGUGGCAAGGGUGUAAAUUUAGCCUCUGCAUCUAACCCAGUGAACAAAUGAACAGUUAAAAUUGCUGAUGCUUUAAGGAUGGUUGGUUGUUCUAUUUAGAAAUGUUUCAUAGCACUUUUUCAGUUCUCAGUCUGUCCCCAGAUAGAUGUGAAUAUUUUUUUAAUUUCUUUCUUCCACGGCAGUAACCUGGUGGGGGAUAAACUUGAAUAUUUGGUGAAUGUGUUGUGUGAGAACUCCUGGAAUGAAAGUAACUGAACAUAUGACUAAUACAGAAGUCUCCUGUAUAAUAGACGCUACUUAAUACAUGUUACAUAAGUAAUAUGGUGAGGUGGAGUCUAGUUACAUAAGAACUGACUGGGGACUUGGGAGCUACUGUUAUAUAAAGGAUACCAGGAAAGAAAUGGAGGAGACUGUAAUUAAGGAUGAUACAGUGUGAAGCCCUCGAAAGUUAGGAGUCUCAUUUGAGUCUAGCUUUUAGGAUAUAAACUCUACUUCCUAAAAGAACAGUUCACCCCUUGGCCUUUUUUGAGUGUCAGAUAGUGGCUGUCAGCUGAGCAUCGCACCAACCAAUUUUGUUCUGUGCAGACUACUAUAAAGAGCAGGAUUUUGAGUCCGAGUUUGUUGGUUUUUUUAAAAAAAAAAAAAAAAAAGCUUACUGGAAAUGC